rnacentral:tmRNA from 1 species
GGGGUUGUCAGGUUUCUACAUAUUAUUUUAUAUAAUAAGUUGUUGAGGAUUUAUGUAAGUAACAUAAAAUUACUUUAUCUAAAAGAUAAAUAUAAACGCAAAACAUCAAAUUGUAUCAUUUUCUAAAUUACCAGUUUUGAUUUAAUUCAAUACAUAGACUGGCUUAGUAUUUUUAGAUUAUCAAACGGCUUAGUCUAUAUAGUCUUUUGAUAUGUUUAUUUAUAGAUGCUCUUAAAUUAAAAUAUAUUUAAUUUAAGUAAAGUUCUCCUUUAUAAAGUGGGCUAUACUCCUCUUAAUUUUUAAUCUUACUUAUAGUAAGGUUAGCUUAUUAUAUUUUAUUAAUAUGGACGUGGGUUCAAGUCCCACCAACUCCA